rnacentral:rRNA from 1 species
GCAAGUCGAACGGCAGCGCGGAGAGCUUGCUCUCUGGCGGCGAGUGGCGGACGGGUGAGUAACGCGUAGGAAUCUGCCCAGUAGUGGGGGACAACCCGAGGAAACUCGGGCUAAUACCGCAUACGCCCUACGGGGGAAAGCGGGGGAUCUUCGGACCUCGCGCUAUUGGAUGAGCCUACGUCGGAUUAGCUUGUUGGUAGGGUAAUGGCCUACCAAGGCGACGAUCCGUAGCUGGUCUGAGAGGACGAUC